CCACCCCACCCCCACCAAACAACCCCAAAUUUCUUGCACAAAAUGGAAGUUUGGCGGAACAGUAAGUAGUGUAGCGAAAACAGGACCGGCGCCGCUUGUUUUCUGCUGUCUGCCUCCUCCACCCUAGGGUCUCCAAAUCACCGCCUACCUUUACAGGAGGACCUGAAAGGAUCCAGGGCACUUUCCUUCUUCUUUAGCUGAACCGAUCUGCCACAGGGAAACAGGCCUGGAUUUCAGCACACGUCGACUCUUGGUCACUGUGGUACAGGAGACCAGGAAGGGUAUUUUCCAGUGUCCUGGAAGAGCCUUCAUCUUAGGUGAAGAGAACAAGGACUCACCAAGAAGCAAGCCCUCCAUGAAAACCAGCACCAUGCGUGGGUCGCCAAAAGCAGGGGGACAGCCAGACCCUGGCCCCUUCUAGCGUAUGAGCAAACAAGAAGAGCCAAUCCUCUCACCCAUCUAAAAUAAAACAGAAGAGGAUAGAACAAAGCAGAUCAGAACAAUGUAAGCAACGCAGCACUUUACAACAAGACAACUGGUUAGUAACAGUAGUACUAUAAUGUGUCUUUCUUUGAAAUAGAUGUUUAAGGAACCUUACAGUACCUUACUCAUAAACCUAAUUUGUUGAACAAUUUUGUAAUGAAUGGAUUUUAAAUUUCAUUAACAACCAUCUCUACAUCUAUGGAGAGAAUUCAUAUGAUUUAUAUCUUUCAUUCUGCUGAUGUGUUUUAUCACUCCAUUAUUGGUUUGCAAGUAUCAAACUACCCUUGAAUCCUUUGGAUCAAUCCCACCGGAUCAUGAUGAAUGAUUUAAUGUACUAAUUGAAUUGGUUAGUGUUUUCUUGAGUUUUUUUUAAUCUAUAUGCUUUGAAAAUAUUGGCCUGUAGUAAGGGUUUUUUUUUUUUUCCUUAAAUAGUUUUGGAAUCAAAUUAAUGCUGCACAAUAAUUUUUCUGAAUGUGUUCAGAAAAAUUAUUACCUCUAUCUUUUGAAAUAACUUAACAAGAAUGGGUAUUAUUUCCUCUUAACAUCCUUGUAGAACACAGU